CAGUCGAGCGAGCGGAACCACAGAUUUACUUCGGUAAUGACGUUGGGAAAGCGAGCGGCGGAUGGGUGAGUAACACGUGGGGAACCUGCCCCUAAGUCUGGGAUACCAUUUGGAAACAGGUGCUAAUACCGGAUAAUAAAGCAGAUCGCAUGAUCAGCUUUUGAAAGGCGGCGUAAGCUGUCGCUAAGGGAUGGCCCCGCGGUGCAUUAGCUAGUUGGUAAGGUAACGGCUUACCAAGGCGACGAUGCAUAGCCGAGUUGAGAGACUGAUCGGCCACAUUGGGACUGAGACACGGCCCAAACUCCUACGGGAGGCAGCAGUAGGGAAUCUUCCACAAUGGACGCAAGUCUGAUGGAGCAACGCCGCGUGAGUGAAGAAGGUUUUCGGAUCGUAAAGCUCUGUUGUUGGUGAAGAAGGAUAGAGGUAGUAACUGGCCUUUAUUUGACGGUAAUCAACCAGAAAGUCACGGCUAACUACGUGCCAGCAGCCGCGGUAAUACGUAGGUGGCAAGCGUUGUCCGGAUUUAUUGGGCGUAAAGCGAGCGCAGGCGGAAAAAUAAGUCUAAUGUGAAAGCCCUCGGCUUAACCGAGGAACUGCAUCGGAAACUGUUUUUCUUGAGUGCAGAAGAGGAGAGUGGAACUCCAUGUGUAGCGGUGGAAUGCGUAGAUAUAUGGAAGAACACCAGUGGCGAAGGCGGCUCUCUGGUCUGCAACUGACGCUGAGGCUCGAAAGCAUGGGUAGCGAACAGGAUUAGAUACCCUGGUAGUCCAUGCCGUAAACGAUGAGUGCUAAGUGUUGGGAGGUUUCCGCCUCUCAGUGCUGCAGCUAACGCAUUAAGCACUCCGCCUGGGGAGUACGACCGCAAGGUUGAAACU
rnacentral:rRNA from 1 species